UACGAAGGGAGCUAGCGUUGUUCGGAAUCACUGGGCGUAAAGCGCACGUAGGCGGAUGUGUCAGUCAGGGGUGAAAUCCCGGGGCUCAACCUCGGAACUGCCUUUGAUACAGCACGUCUUGAGUCCGAUAGAGGUGGGUGGAAUUCCUAGUGUAGAGGUGAAAUUCGUAGAUAUUAGGAAGAACACCGGUGGCGAAGGCGGCCCACUGGAUCGGUACUGACGCUCAGGCGCGAAAGCGUGGGGAGCAAACAGG
rnacentral:rRNA from 1 species